GGCGGUAUAGCCAAAUGGUAAGGCCAUUGAUUGCAAAUCAUUUAUUCCUCAGUUCAAAUCUGAGUGCCGCCU
rnacentral:tRNA from 1 species